UGGGUAAAAUCCCAUCUGUUAUACAAAAUGGAACCAAUACGUAUUGCCAAUUUUAGGCCUAGAUCCUAUAUGGUUGAUCAGAUUGACAUUGGAAGCAAAGUUCAAUUGGGAUGAAACUAUAGGCCCUUGGUUUAAAAUGUGUAAUGGUCCAAUCAGAGUGCAACAAAGUUCUGUGUCUUGAUGAGUGUUUUUUAGUGCUAUGUCUAUAUGCGUUUUGUUGUUUUGCCGUGAUAUUAUUAGUAUUUUAGUCGGGGGAAGUUUGGACUAAACUGAAAAUUCCAACAUAUAAAAUGGAGAGGAGGAGGGGAAGGAAUAGGAGCCAUGUAAAGAUGAUGGGUUGGAGAACCUGGAUGUGCUUCAAGCGAUCCUUCCUCCUCCCAACUAAGUGCUUUCUUCUCAAGCUUACUUCACGGUCAAGAAACAAAGCCAAAGGAAAUGGACAUGGAUUGGUGAGUCUGUACAAAGACAUGGAGUCUUGCGGUGAAUAUGAAGAUAUAAGAGUGAUGUGGGAGAUAAUUCACUCUUGUCCACAGAAUACUAACAGUAGUAAUAGGAGGAAGAGGUCUUCCUCUCAUUGGAGAUUCUGUCUUCAGCCUACUUGAAUUUUGUCCUUCUUUCUUAAGCAGUUGGCUUUGGUUUAAGAUCUGUCACAGCUUUGAUUAUGCAGGAUGUGACUUGUAAAUACCAGUAUCUGAGUGAGUAUAGAUGAUAAGUUGCUCUGGAUUUUUCAUUUUUAGUGUUUGUGGAGCACAAUACUUUGUAGUUUAAGAACAUCAGAAUGAGAUUAUUUCAAAUAAGCAUCUGGCAACAUCCACUUAAUCAUAAUAGAACAUAAUUUGUACACAUAGCCAUAGGAUUGCUAAAUUCUGAACUACAAAGCCUUUGACAUGAUAGGAGGUCAAGAAGUUCGCCUAAUCCAAGUCGCUUCUACUAUCAAAUAUCACUCCUGCAAUGAAACUUUCACUAGACAAGUUCGAAGAAAUCGAUCCCUUCAAUCAGCGAUUUUGCACAGCAGUAAGUUUGUUCUGACAUGUUGAAGGCGGCUAUCUGAGUUCGCACUCUUAUCAGCUUCCUAAAUAAUUAUACAUAAUUC